UACGAAGGGUGCAAGCGUUACUCGGAAUUACUGGGCGUAAAGCGUGCGUAGGUGGUUUGUUAAGUCUGUUGUGAAAGCCCCGGGCUCAACCUGGGAAUGGCAAUGGAUACUGGCAAGCUAGAGUGCGGUAGAGGGUAGUGGAAUUCCCGGUGUAGCGGUGAAAUGCGUAGAGAUCGGGAGGAACACCAGUGGCGAAGGCGGCUCUCUGGAACGCAACUGACGCUGAGACGCGAAAGCGUGGGGAGCAAACAGG
rnacentral:rRNA from 1 species